rnacentral:lncRNA from 1 species
GGAGGGGUGAGAUGCAGUCCCUGACAAUUUUAAAUAACUGACCACAAAGAGGAGAGCAACGGCCUUUGAGUUAAACAGUCUUGGACUGAUCACAGGCUCUGUCCCCCACCGGUCGUGUGACUUAGCCACCUUCUCUUGCUGAGACUUGGCUUGUUCAGUGACACAGAUGGUGGUAAGAACACACCCUGUUGUGAAGCCCUGAGAUAAGAAAGGACCUUCAGAGUCACUCUCAGAAAGUCCAGGAAAGACUGGCCCAGCAGCCCAAGAAAGACUAUGCUGUGUGCUUGUAAAGCCAGUUACUCUGUCCCCUGUAAACUAGAAGACAGAGCAGCACAGACCCUUUAGAGGGCAGUGUUGCCCAUUCCAUGUAGAGACUGGUACAGAGGUAAUGUGAAGUUACCAGCAAAAACAAACAAAAUCAAAAACAAAAAAUAAAAACAAAACAAACAAACAAAAAAAACCCCAAACCUCUUUAUCCUCUGAAAACUCCAGACACCAUAUCUUUAUUUAUUUAAAAUUAGUUAUUUAAUUUCUGUGUAUUAUUUACAUUUGAUUUUAUUUAACUAUAGCAUUUAGAAAAUAAUAAGAAUAUUAAGGGUCUGAAUAGGAAGGGAGUCUGUUAAGGCUCUUUCCAGGAGGUCAGGUUUGGAUUUCUAGAGUCUUUUUCCCUCAGAGAGGACUCUCUAGUGUUUGGCACGAUCCCUGUAAGUAAGAUGGGGGAGUCCUGAGGAGAGAGAGAGAGACUAAACUGAUUUUUAAACUGGUAAAUGGAGUCUUGAAUUGUGGAAUAUAUGAAUGAUUAAGCCUGUGUGUCCUGAAGGUACUUUGCCAGAAAGCACUUGACUUGAAAAAGAAAACCUAUUUAAUUCAGGAGUGGAGGAAUAGAGACUCAUGAAGGAAACAUUUAGACCUUGGAAACCUGUCCUAUGAAAUUCUGUUUUUAUAAAAUUGUGUUAUGAUAGAGAUCUGUCACAUUUUGACUUUGGGGCUGUAAGAAACCUGCUAUCUAUGCUUAAGAAAGUACUUCUAAUUUAUUCAAUAUCUUCCUAAAUUAUCCUUUAGAAAGAGUUGCAAAGUCUUUGGGACCAUACCCAGGAAACCUUGGCUGUAUAUUUAAAUUAUUUAAUGCUAUACAUUUGCGCAGCCCCUAUGAUUCCCAGUGAUGGCCACGUGUCUGAGGAAAUGUUUUGGCAUGAGGGGGAGGGGUGCUCUUUCUAUAUUUAUUUUUGUUUCCUAUAAACUGUAGUUGGCGUAUAUCCUGAUUUAAUUUGACAUUGAUGUGGCUUUUUUUUUUUUUUUUGACACUGUGUCUUUCUCUAGGCAGCCCUGGAUGUCCCAGAACUCACUCUGUAGAUCAGGCUGACCUCAAACUCACAGAGUUUGCUUCUGCCUCCUGAGUGCUGGGAUUAAAGGAAUACACAGCAUGCCCAGCUUGGGUUUUUUUUUUGUUUUUGUUUUUGUUUUUGUUUUGUUUUGUUUUUAACUGCUGUCACUUUUAGACUGCCUGUGUGGGCACUGGAGUAUACCUCAGGCUCUCCUUCCAUCAUCCGGCUGAAGCCAUUCCCUGACGCCGUCAUGCAUUGGUGCUUUGUCUCGGGUUAUACUCCUCCAUUACCGACCUGUUCCAUAUAACCCAAAAUGGGAAUGUUUUGAGUAUAUAGCAAAGUACUAAGCUUCUGAAGGUUUUAUCAGUGGUCUGCUGUGUGCGCAUCUGAGAGUGUCUACUUUCCAUCCACAGAUGGCAGAAGGGUCUAGAGGUUGAGUUCCAGGGCACCCGAGCUACACAAUGAGACCUCAUCUCAAAAAUACAAUGAAACAACAAAAACUGAAAGCACAUUUGAAUAAUUCGCUGUUUGUCUGUAUUAUGAGGGAUUAGCUUGGUCAUUCUCUUUCUUAUGUGUAGGCAUGUUGUGAAAAUUGGAGGAUUUGCCAGGGGUUAGCAAAGUUCAGUACAAUUGAUCCUAGAGACAAAUUGUUUAUUUCUUUCAUGGGACAGUGGAGUGGGUUUUCCCUUUCGACCGUCAUUCUAUAAGCAAGCAGGUCGAAAGGGUUUGUGGCGCAAAUGAAAAGAGAGAAAUAAAUGUUAGGGUUUGG